GCUCUUCUCUUUUUCGCGAUCUAGGGCAAGAGAGAGGGAAGAGUGGAUUGCGCGCUAGGUCUGGCGAUCGAUCGAUUCCAGGUGAGGUAUGGAUUGCGCGCUAGCGCCGGCGAUCGAGCAAGGAAUGGAUCGAUUCCAGGGAUGAAUCUUGCGGGCGCCUGGAACUCGCUGGUGGAAUUGACGCCCAUGGAGGUCCAGAGGUAUCACAGCAUUCAAGAGAGCAUUCUCCAGGACCGGGUUGUGGAGAAUCCGUCGGACAGCGGGGAUGUUUUGCUUGAAUCGGACCUCCAUUUGGAUCAUAUCGGGCUCGUUACCGUCACGCUCUCGGAGAGGAGUCUUGUGUGGCAGAGCAAAAGCAUGGAAGACAAGUUGGAGUCCUUUUCAUUGUCGUGCUUUCGACUCGCGAGCUUGCCGCAUGAGUUCCCUCUCUCGGAAAUCUAUGGUGUCGAGAGUUUUGGAUGGGGACCCGUGCGAAAAUUUGUGGGAGCUUCGGCAGUUCAUCGUCUCUUGAAGCCGGUGAUUCGAAUGCAUCGAUUCUCCAUACAUUCAUUCCAAAGGUUACGCAAUAGCAGAAGUAAGUGGCUGCCUAGAACUUACGAUUUUGCUCACCCGGAGCUGGAAGUUUGCCACAGAUGGGUUAAGUGCUUGCAUAACUUGCUGAGCAAGGACCAUAAGCGGCCUAAGGAUCUGCUGGUGCUUAUCAAUCCUUAUGGUGGCAAAGGCAUUGCUUCUAGCAAAUGGGCAAUGGUUUCUCCGCUUUUCAGUCGCGCGGGGAUAAAGACGAAGGUUGUGACGACCGAGAGAGCUGGCCAUGCAUAUGAGAUGAUGUACAAUGCAACAGACGAUGAGCUAAAAUGCCAUGACGGGAUUGUUAUGGUGGGUGGGGAUGGGAUUUUUAACGAGGUCAUAAAUGGUUUAGCCUUGAAAAGGCAUCAAGCUUCCAGCGUGCUUACAGCUCAUCAAAUUUCGCAGUUAAUAACUUCUCAUAGGUCUCAAUCUCCUAAGGCAGAAGAAGAAGCGGCACUGUUAGACGAGUCACGUCUUUGUUCGGAAACCGGUUCUUCGAUUCUAUCUGAACCUCUUUUGGUACAUGCACUGUCAAACUCUUGCAAAUUUGCUCCAUUAGUUCCAUGGCUCCGAUUUGGAAUUAUACCUGCUGGCUCUACGGACACAAUUGUCGUGAGCACAACAGGCACACGCGAUCCAGUGACUGCUGCACUUCAUAUCAUUCUUGGUGAUAGCAUGCCACUGGACAUUGUUCGUCUGACUGGCUGGAAAGAAUCUAAACAACCCGAGGCUCCGGUGAUACGUUACGCAGCAUCGUUUUCUGGGUAUGGCUUUUACGGGGAUGUAGCCCGAGAAAGCGAAUCUUUGCGAUGGAUGGGACCUUCUCGUUAUGACUACGCCGGAACCAAAGUUUUUAUGCGACACAGAAAGUAUGAAGCUGAAGUGUCGUAUCUAGAUGUUCCGAAUGUGUCGCAGAGCAUUUGCUGCGUCCAUUGUCGAGUUUGUGCCAAGGAACACAGUUUGCCAGAGGAUGUAGGCCAGCUUCUGUGGAUCACAAAAAGAGCUUUCUUCCAUAGCGUGGGAGCCGCGAUAAUGUCUUGUCGAAAUGACAAAGCCCCGGAUGGAGUGGUGGCUCAUGCUCACCUUGCAGACGGGCUUUUGCAUCUGGUUCUCGUAAAACAGUGUUCUCGACCAGCCUAUCUUAUGCACUUGAUACAGCUGACGAGGAGAGGAGGAAAUCCCCUGGGUUUGGAUUUUAUAGAGCUUCACAAGACGCCACUUUUUACAUUUGUGGCCCAUGGAGACGAGAGUGUAUGGAACGUUGAUGGGGAAAUCUUGGCUGCUAAUAAACUUGGUGGACAAGUGUUUAGAGGCUUGAUCAACUUCUUUGCUCUUGGUCCUGAAGAACAGUGAUCAAAGAACAUUUGAUCUUCAAAUAGCUACGACAGUGGUUCAGAGCCACAACCACUGGUACUAAAUAUUUCAAACGAGCAUAGAAACAAAAGUUAUUUUGUGGCCAGGAAGGUAAAGGUACAAAUCCAAAAGUGAUCAUUGAUGGAUGGAUGGAAAUUGUUUUUCUUUCAUUUACAAUGAAAAUUUUUGUUAA